rnacentral:sRNA from 1 species
ACUGGGCGACAAACACGUCUGCCCAAUGCCCGGUCACGGGACUACCCCUAUCGCUUCCGCAUCCGGUGACGU